CCCGCCGAACUUAAGCAUAUCAUUUAGCGGAGGAAAAGAAACUAACAAGGAUUCCCUUAGUAACGGCGAGUGAACGGGGAGAAGCCCAGCGCUGAAUCUUUCGGUGUUACACCGUUAAGAAAUGUAGCGUAUAGGUGUGGUUUUCAGUUUGUGCUGCAUGUCCAAAGUCCCUUUGAUAGGGGCCACAUUCCUGAGAGGGUGCGAGACCUGUGCGGGCAGUGGAGCAAGCUGUACGAUCAUACCUUGGAGUCGGGUUGCUUGAAAGUGCAGCCUAAAGUGGGUGAUAAACUUCAUCUAAGGCUAAAUAUAGACGCGAAUUCGAUAGCAAACAAGUACUGUGAAGGAAAGUUGCAAAGAACUUUGAAGAGAGAGUUCAAGAGAACGUGAAAUCGCUGGAGUGGAACCGGAGAGAGUUGACGUAGCCGGGUAACUAAGUCUACUAAUGUCGCUUAAUUGUGACUGCGGGAGAUGUAUGUUGCCUAUGGCUGCGCUGACAGCGCUGGCCGUGCGUUCCGAACCGUUUAGCGUUGCCCACCGUUUCGGCGGUGGUGUCUUGCUGGCGGAUAGGUUUGUCGUGGCUAGCGUUUUUGCCCUACUUCAUUGUAGGGUGUCAGUGUGAAAGUCGACCACCUCUCCGACCCGUCUUGAAACACGGACCGAGGAGUGUAACUUGUACCCGAGUCUAAGGGUAGAAAACCCCAAGGCGUAAUGAAAGUGAAGGUCGUUUAACCGGCUGACAUGGGAUCCGUUUCGUUUACGAAGCAGCGCACCAUGGCCCUGUCUUGUCUGCUUGCAGAUGGGCAGCGGUAGAGCGUACAGGUUGUGACCCGAAAGAUGGUGAACUAUGCCUGAGCAGGACGAAGUCAGAGGAAACUCUGGUGGAAGGCCGUAUCGGUUCUGACGUGCAAAUCGAUCGAUAGACUUGAGUAUAGGGGCGAAAGAUUAAUCGAACCAUCUAGUAUCUGAUUCCCUCCGAAGUCUCCCUAGGAUAGCUGGAGUUCAUAGCGGUUAUAUCCGGUAAAGCGAAUGAUUAGAGGACUUGGGGUCGAAACGAUCUCAAACUAUUCUCAAACUUUCAAUGGGUAUGUUGUCUCGGUUUCUUCAUGAACUGUUGACACGAACGCGAGCUCCAAGUGGACCAUUUUUGGUAAGCAGGACUGGCGCUGUGGGAUGAACCAAACGUUGGGUUAAGGUGCUUAACUUUUUGCUCAUGAGACCCCAUAAAAGGCGUUGGUUGAUAUAGACAGCAGGACGGUAGCCAUGGAAGUCGGUACCCGCUAAGGAGUGUGUAACAAGUCACCUGCCGAAUCAACUAGCCCUGAAAAUGGAUGGCGCUUGAGAGAGAGACCUAUACCCAACCGUUGCUGGCUUGUGCGUUGUCUAGCGCCUGGCCGCAAUGGGUAGGAGGGUCGUGGCGGUUGCGUCGAAGGCUUUGAGCGUAGGCCCAGCUGUAGCUUCCGUCAGUGCAGAUCUCGGUGGUAGUAGCAAAUAUUUAAGUUCGAUCCUUGAAGACUGAAGUGGAGAAGGGUUCGACGUGAACAGUAGUUGAAUGUGGUUCAGUCGAUCCUAAGAUACUGGCUUAUGCCUUGUAUCAUCGAGAGGGAAAAGUCUCUUUUCUCUCGAAUAUCAAUAGGGAAUAGGGUUAAUAUUCCCUAACGUAGACAGAGAGAUUGCGGCUCUUUGAGUCACUUGCUCGGUAACGCAUUCGAACUUGGUUACGUCGCUCAGAGACCGAGCUAGAGUUCUCUUCUCUAGUUAAGGAACAGAAUCCCUGGAAUCGGUUCAGCUGUAGAUAGGGACGUUGUUUCCGUAAAGCAUCGCGGUUUCUGUGAUGUCUCGUGUUCUCUGGACGGCCCUUGAAAAACCAAGGAAGGCUAUUAAUCUGUGCUGCAUCGUACCGAUAUCCGCAUCAGGUCUCCAAGGUGAACAACCUUUAGUC
rnacentral:ncRNA from 1 species